rnacentral:rRNA from 1 species
GACGAACCGUGCGAACGUUGUUCGGAAUCACUGGGCUUAAAGGGCGCGUAGGCGGCGCCGCAAGUCGACUGUGAAAUCUCCGGGCUUAACCCGGAAAGGUCAGCCGAUACUGCGGGGCUAGAGUGCAGAAGGGGCAACUGGAAUUCUCGGUGUAGCGGUGAAAUGCGUAGAUAUCGAGAGGAACACCUGCGGCGAAGGCGGGUUGCUGGGCUGACACUGACGCUGAUGCGCGAAAGCUAGGGGAGCGAACGGG